UUUGGAGAAAAAAAUAUAACUAGCGAACAAGCGCCAUUCUUUCAUUCAGCGGGUGUAGCUUAUUAUUCUUCUCCACAUUGAAAACAUGUCAUUUAAACAUUUUUACUUAUCGUUUGUGAGGUUCUGAUCCAAAGCAUCCGAAUGCCUGAAUUCUGAAACUAACUUUGUAGUUCCGUCUAUCAAAGUGCUAAAAUUAGUUUUUUACUUCUACUAGAGUCCAUUAAACUGUACAUUUCCGGGCUGGAUUCAUUUAUGAAAUCGAAAUUGAAAAGAGGCAGGCUUCCGGAAAAGGGAGUGAAAUGUUCAUAUGGUGUGGAUGUGAAUAUAAGAUAAAAGGCUAUACGGAAAUACCAGUUGUGCGCAGUAUAGAAUAAGGAAAAGAGAGAAGAAAACUUCAGUAUUGAGAGCAAGCAUAAAGCGGACUGCGAUACCCGGAAGCUGCUUUCUUUGCAGAUAUGAUGCCGGAGCCCUGAUCGUCUAAGCCGUGGCUCGCCGCUCCCAUGAAGAGGUGACAACGGUUUGCCAUGUAAUACAUGCUGUAAAUACCAGACUCUGCACUACAGAAAAGCUUACGUUCAACACAUGAACUAUUUUUACCCAGAAGUUACUGAAAAUAGCACCGAAAAAACUCGCUUUCCAAAUGUAGAAGUAAAAGGUGUAUAGUAACAAAAUAGAAUGGCAUAUAUUCGUUAUUGUCUUAACGUGAUAUUUUUAGCAUGCUAUUUUAUGGUGUUAACCCUGUUUUUAAUGUGCUGUAUUGGGUUUUAAACUGCAGUAUAGCUGCACUGGUCUAAUAAAAGGCACGGUCUCUA